GAUUUUGGCCUAAAAUAUGUCUCGUAACCUUUAGAAAAGCAAAACAGUGUUCCUCCUAUAUUGGGGUUAUUACUACUAGACAACAUACACGAAUAAAAAGCAGCAUUUUUGUCAAAUUCGAAUGGUAUUAUUUCCCAAUUAGCGUGGUAUGGUGCGAUUGAAAACAUUGUAUGGUUGCUGCGGUGGCGUUCGAAUUGUUUUGCCUUACAGUCCAAACUCGGAGUUUACAUUGAACAUUGCUAACAACACUGGCCUUGUCAUGUGUUUUACAGUUAACGUCAACCCACGCACAACGUUUUAUUAGAACAAGAAAAUAGAGGAGCCGAUGAUUAACCGGAGGUCGUCCCUUUGUUAAUGCCCGCUCCUGUAGUUGUCAACAAGUGCUUCUGAAGCCGUAGCAGUAAUUUCCCAGCUAGUUGUCUAAGCUAAGUCGCUAGCUGUGUAGCUAUAGCCUGCCUGAGCUGGCUCCUUGCUGGCUUUCUUUCGGGUUGUUCGCGACCUACUCACUGACUGCCUGCCUGCUUUUCUGCAUAAUAACACUGGAAAAGAAUAAAAGGAAUGGUGCAGCCCCAACCUGAUGGCCCACUGCAGUGGGACAUGUCAGGAGAGGAUAGUGGAGGGGCCCUCAGGGUCCCACCUGAGCUGGCAGCCAAUGAAGUGGUCACCAGGUUGCUUGGAGACAAUCAGCAGCUCAGA